rnacentral:rRNA from 1 species
AUGAGGCUAGCCAACUCACCUCCAGAAGGCUCCCCCGAUUGGGCCAUUUGUGGCCGUCGGAUCGGGGCCGCUUGCGAUGUGUUGGCUGGGUGCGGGGUGAAACGGUACGAUUGGUCAUUCAUCCUGAAAAGCCCAUUGGUCGCCCAAACCCCACAGCGCACGCCCCCACCUCCUUCCUCCCUCACUCGUCUCAGUCGCAUGAACCCUAGCCGCCGCCCCACCCGCAUCCGUCCUCCAUCCCUGGUACGAUCUCUUCCUCCUCUGUCUAUGUCUGCCCCGAGCUCUUCCUCCUCCGUCCUCACAUGCUCCACCCCGAGCCCCGCCUCUUCCACCCCACCUGGACUUCGCCUCGUCUGUUCGCGCACCAGUUCAAAGGGCAGGGCCAGAGAGCCGUGGAGAGUCCUCGGGAGAGGAGAGAAAGGCAAAGGCGGAGCAGAGGAAAUCAAGAAGGUCAGGGGGCGAGGGAGGGAUGGGACAGGCCAUGAAGAGCAUGAUGGGCGAGAUCCCGUUGCUGUCGACACGGGCGGGUCCAUGGGUCUGCGAUGCGUGGCAGCGGCGGCUCAAGGAGGAGGCACCCGCUGGGAGGGCACCUGCUGGUACGUCCACAACCUCAGCCGCUAUGAGUUCCCCCUCCGGUUCAACAUCCCCCUUGCUCACCCCACGUCGUGCACGAGAUCGAGCUCCCCACGCUUGAUGUCAAGCCCCACAAGAUAUACCACGAAGGGAAGAUCUGCCUCAAUGUGCACUUCAGGCGCGCGCGAUGGUACAGGAUUGGCUUCCUGGUGGAAUCAGGUGCGCAUCGUCCAUGGUGGCCUGUCGUGGGUGUUGGGAGAUGGGGUUGAUGGAGAAGAAGAGGAAAUAGAGGUGGGUGUUCUUGCGGCACUCGGCUGGUUCCAAAACCGUGAGGGGAAGGACUUCAUGCCUCUGGAGGGGAAAGAGCAGAGGAUUCGGGAGAAGAAGCAACCAGAGGAGCCGGAGAACAUGGCCCCUGUCCUGUUUCUCAGUAACUUGGGGCUAUUAAGAAGAGGCCUUUCCAUUCUAGGCAUCAUUUCUCAAUUGUUUGGGGUCCAAUUCUACAAAUGCUUGGAUGUGUUGGUUCGGCCUUCUGUUAAUCUCCAGAUGAUAGGCUCUAGAAUCACUAACGUUGCUCCUUCUCUGUCCCUUUGGUCAAGGUGUCGUGUUUGUGUGUUUGUUUUUGUGCACAAAGGAAUGAGGAAAGGAUACUGGAGGCAUGGCGUAAGCGUAGGGGUCAGCCAGGGCACGACGCAGGAGUCUGCCCAUCUCCUCUCAAAGUUAGUUCUUGCUCUUGUCCCUGCUACCUCGCCUGCAAACUCUCUGAUAGAGUAUUUUAUUUCUGCAAUAAAUGAGGCAACCUUACAUGUUGACAAGAAAGAGAGACAGGGAGGUGAGAUGAGGAAAGCAGAGGAACAACAGGAGGAGGAGAAGGGCAGCGGUGAUUAUCUCAUGGUCGUCGGCGACAGCGUCGCCCUGCCGCCGCGGCCUGCGAGGACCCAGAUCGGGCACUGGGAAGCCCAUCUAGGCCCCGAGCCGCCUAGCUCCUGCGCCCGAGCGGCUCCCUGCUCGCCCGACCUCCAGCCGACCUCGGUCGCCGCCGACCUUGUCAUCCGUACCCUCUUGCCACCUCGCCCUUGUUGGAUCCUCGCCUUCGGUCUUCUCCGCCUCGCCCUCAACUACGGAUCCGGCUGCUCCCUCCGUUCAUGGCCUGCCGAACCAACACCGGCGCCCCUCUCCUCGCAGCAGAGCCUCACCGCCCUCCAUGGCGCGGCCUCCCAGUGCCUAGUCGCUGCCCGGCCCCGCCAUCGCCCAGAAACGGAGCCGCCGCCUCCGGAUCCGUCGCCUCGCGUCCUUCCUCGACCUCCUUGGACGCCCCUCGCCGGAGAUCAGGUCACCGUCGUCCCUGCCUCAUCCUGGAGCGAGAGGAGGACGGCCCCCGUGGCCUCCUCGCUCGCCCUGCGGGUGGGACGCGUCCUCGCUCGCCGGCCCACCGCUGCUGCUCCCCGCGUCGGCCCUGCGCGCCGGCUUCCAAGGCCCAACCUGAGCUUCCCCACCGACCGGGCCAAGGCCCCUAGGUGA